UUUUUAGUGUAAGUAUGUCCCAUUCAGUAUUUUGUGACAUACUUAUACUAAAA
rnacentral:pre_miRNA from 1 species